GACGAACGCUGGCGGCGUGCUUAACACAUGCAAGUCGAACGGUGAAGCACCUUCCUUUUGGUGGGUGUGGAUGAGUGGCGAACGGGUGAGUAACACGUGAGUAACCUGCCCCCUUCUUCUGGAUAACCGCAUGGAAGUGUGGCUAAUACGGGAUAUUCUGGGUCUGUCGCAUGGCGGGCCUGGGAAAGAUAUUGUUUCGGUGGGGGAUGGGCUCGCGGUCUAUCAGCUUGUUGGUGGGGUGAUGGCCUACCAAGGCGGUGACGGGUAGCCGGCCUGAGAGGGUGGACGGUCACACUGGGACUGAGACACGGCCCAGACUCCUACGGGAGGCAGCAGUGGGGAAUAUUGCACAAUGGGCGCAAGCCUGAUGCAGCGACGCCGCGUGAGGGAUGGAGGCCUUCGGGUUGUAAACCUCUUUCGCCAGUGAAGCAGGCCUGUCCCUUUUGUGGGUGGGUUGACGGUAGCUGGAUAAGAAGCGCCGGCUAACUACGUG
rnacentral:rRNA from 1 species